AUAAAGGUCUGGUUUAAGUACAGGGAGCAAGAAGUUGUGCUUCAAAUGUCAGUGACUAUGAGACCAGACUAACCCUUUGGAAGGACAAUGUCACAGAAACUGGAAGGCCAAUUGAAAUUCCCUGAACAAAACUGAUGUCUCCUGAUUCUGAAAAUCCAGUGUGAGAAGACCUUCCUAAGUCUUGUCCUAUUUCUAGUUUUCAUGUACCAGUCUGUAUUCCUCCCACCUCCUGCCCAGAAAGCUCUAGAUGUUUAAUAAAACAAAAAUAAAAA